CUCAACCUCCCAAGUAGCUGAGAUUACAGGUACCCUCCACCAUACCUGGCUAAUUUUUGUAUUUUUAGUAGAGAUGGGAGUUUCACCGUGUUGGCCAGGCUGUUCUCGAACUCCUGACCUCAGGUGACCUGCCUGCCUCGGCCUCCCAAAAUGUUGCGAUUAUAGGUGUGAGCCACCACGCCCAGCUUUUCAGAGAUAGUUUCUGUUGAUUUAUUUUUGUUUUCCUUUGAAUUGGCCAUACUUUCCUGUUUCUUUGUAUGCCUUGUGAACUUCUGUUGAAAACUGGACAUUUGAAUCUAAUAAUGUGGUAACUCUGGAAAUCAGACUCUCCUCCUUCCCCAGGGUUUGCUGGGUUUUGUUUGUUUUUUUUUCUUUUCUACUGUUGUAGGCUGUCUCUUUCCAAGGCUCAGCUGGGGUAUAAACUUACGGUCUUCUUGGGACUCUUCUGAGCCUUUCUUUGGCAUUUAUGGUCACUUUCUAAUUUCCCCAGUAUAUACAGUUGUUUUGAAUGUCCUAGCCUUUCAUGUUUGGCUCCUAAGAAGAGAAAAAGAGAAAAAUCAAGAGGGAAAAAAAGGCACCAGCUCUUUAAAGCCCUGGAAGUCACUUCAGCCAGAGGGGGAGGGGCUUGCAGCAAUGUGGGGAGGGGCCAUGACAAUGGCUGCUGCUGCUUUGUCUGCCCCUCAGGAGCCAUUGCUGCUUAACAAGUGGUUACAGACUUCGUGACUAUGUUAUCAUUCGGCCGUAUCCGUGGGUCAGGAGUCCGGGCACAGGCUAAAUGGGUCCUCUGGCUGAGCACCUCUCCCAGGGCUAACGCCAAGGUGUUUCAGCCAGGGCUGCAUUCUCAUCUCAAGGAUCGACUGGGGAAGGAUGCGCCUGCAAGCUCCCAUGCUUGUUGAUGAAAUUCAGUUCCUUGUGGGCAGUUGGGCUGAGGGGCCCCCAUGUAGCUCAGUUUUGCUACAUGAGCCUCUGCCUAGGACAUCUUGCAACAUGGCGCUGAAUUCAUCAAAGCCUGCAAGGGAGAGAGUCUGCCAUCAAGACAAAGGUAGCAAUCUUAUUUUUAUUAUUAUUUUUUUUUUGAGAUGGAGUCUCUCUCUGUUGCCCAGGCUGGAGUGCAGUGGCCUGAUCUCAGCUCACUGCAAGCUCCGCCUUCUGGGUUCACGACAUUCUCCUGCCUCAGCCUCCUGAGCAGCUGGGACUACAGGUGCCAACCACCACGCCCGGCUAAUUUUUUUGUAUUUUUAGUAGAGACGGGGUUUCACUGCAUUAGCCAGGAUGGUCUCGAUCUCUUGACUUCAUGAUCCGCCCACCUCGGCCUCCCAAAGUGCUGGGAUUACAGGCGUGAGCCACCGCGCCCAGCCAGGUAGCAAUCUUCUGUAACGUAACUACAGGAAUGAUGGACAUCACAUCCCAUUACCUUCACUGUGUUCUCUUGGUUAGAAGCAAGUCACAGGUCCCACCCACACUCAAGGGGAAGGAAUUACACAAGGCAUGAAUACCAGGAGAAAGGAUAGCCAGGGCCAUUAUAGAGCUUCCCCCACAGCACCAUAAAUCAGUCACUGAUUCAAAGCAUAUACUGCAUCCCAUAAGAUACAGUGAUAUAUUCUCAGGAUACAAUCUCCCAACUGGCACUGCAACCAGGUCUUAAGGCCACUAAACAUUCUAUCACGCCAGCUCCUCUUGAGCCAGGACACCUAGCAAGACCAGUGCAUUCCAUGGGAAAGAAGUUAGCUGGAAAAUAAGUUCCUUAGUCCGCAUCAAUGUUGUGUAUGUUACCAUGAUGUGGAAUAAAUAUUUUAUUUCAUUUAUUUAUUUAUUAAGACGGAGUCUUGCUCUGUCCCCAGGCUGGAGUACAAUGACGUGAUCUUAGCUCACUGCAACCUCCGCCUCCCAGGUUCAAGCAAUUCUUGUGCCUCAGCCUCCUAAGUAGCUGGGAUUACAGGCGCCUGCCACCAUGCCAGGCUAAUUUUUGUAUUUUUAGUAGAGAUGGGGUUUCAUCAUGUUGGCCAGGCUGGUCUCAAACUCCUUACCUCAAGUGAUCCUCCCGCCUUGGCCUCCCAAAGUGCUGGGAUUACAGGUGUGAGCCACUGUGCCUGGCCAGAAUAAAUAUUUUAUAAACUCAUGGUGGCACGGGCAACAUCAUUGCAGUCAAGAACAAAUUCAUAUCUAGAAUCCAUUCCUCCAGUGAGGACACGCAGUGCCCCUUCAUGAUGGAAAGGGUUCAGUGUGGUCAGCCUGCUGGCAGGUGGCUGAGCCCCUGGAAGUGGAGCCAUGCUGGGGGCUCAGUGUCCAUCUCUGCUGCUGGAAGGUUCAGCAUUCAGUGGUGGCAGCCUUGGGGGGAGGAAGAUCUAAUCUAUGUUGUAGAGCCCAUGCAAAGCCCCCAUCUCUGCUGCUGCUCAUUGAUAAAGCAUGAAGGUGGCUGGAAAGCAUGACUGCCAUCCACAGUGCAUGGUUUCAACCUCCUGAUGAUCCCUCUUGGUACAUCUCCCCAAAAUGCAUGACUCUGGUGGACAUUUGCAAAGGUGCACAACAUCUUCACAUUCUGUGCUGUCCACCCACAUCCUCUUUCCCAGAUAUGCUUCUUACCAGUCUCCCAAGCCUGCUCUUUUUGGUAUCUAGCCAAAGCAUUAACUACCACCAGGAACUAAGUCAAUAUUUUCUUCCACGGAUCUCUUAGUCCCGACAAAGUGGACAACACAAUUCACAGCUCAAAGUGCUUCUCAUUGCCAGGCACACUCCUGACUUAAGGCUGGAGCUCAGUACACCACGAGGGACUGUCUGAGAACCAGGGCUGCUUUUCUUUCCUUGUCAGGUGACCAUGAGGAGCUUCCCAGGAUGCCAUUGGUGUGGAUCAAUAGGGAGGAGGUGAUGGAGGAGCACCCCGUGUCACAGGCAUCUGAGCCGCCAGGACCUUCGCACACCCAGUUUCUUAUGUUUCAUCUUCAUUCAUGGUACUCGGUGUACCAUGAAUUGCUGACAAAACAGGCUCAGCGCAGUGGCU
rnacentral:lncRNA from 1 species